rnacentral:misc_RNA from 1 species
AAGUCGUAACAAGGUUUCCGUAGGUGAACCUGCGGAAGGAUCAUUAACACGUAUCCGAACGUUAAAACCCCCCCCGUGAACCUUCAUCCUGCUCUUGUAACCCGCGUAGUUCGCAAUCUCUGAUAAAUCAUAGCCCGGAAAGUUGUAGUGAUUCAGAGACCUCUGGCUACGUGCGAACAUUGGACAUUGGGUAAAAAAACCGAACAACUGUUAACAAUAGAUAUCUUGGUUCUC